CCCACAGAGCCCAGGCGGGGCGGGAGGGCGGCCAUGAAGCGAAGGCGCAGACGCCUGUCAGCUGCCUCCCGGCGCCGCCCGCGCCGCUCCCAUUGUCACCGCCUCGUACGCCGGAAGUGGAGCUGCGCGCGCCCGGUUGGCUGUCGGGAGGGGCCGGCCAGGGAAGCCGGCAGCCGGCGAGCCGCAGAGAGGCUCGUCGCCUGGGCGAGUGAGGAACUGUGAUCCUUGCGGGCCACCGUCCCGGAAGUGGACGGUAGAGGAAGAAAGCAGUGGGUUGGUGGGGAGGAAUGUUUCUCGAGAUUCUAGGCGAGGAGUCACAGAACUUCUGUGGCGUGUGUUGACAGGACGGACUCAGAGGUUUUUUUAGUCACUUGACCAGAAGGAGCCAGCGUCUCUGCAGAGCCCGACCUGUUUGUGGUGAGGCAGAAGGUGGCUCAGGUUGAGGGAGCCCCGGGUCUUCUGGUAGAAGUCCAUCUGAGAAAGCCAGUCCUUUUUCCGUAGAGACCUUAGGGAUCAGCUGAUGCUUUAGUGGCUUAAUGGCCCAGCGGGCAGUGUGGCUCAUAAGCCGCGAGCCGGGAACUCCAUUUUGUGGCACCGUCAGAUUCUCCAGACGGUAUCCAACUGUUGAAAAACGAGCCAAAGUCUUCAAUGGAGCAAGUUAUGUGCCUAUUCCUGAAGAUGGUCCCUUUCUUAAAGCACUACUCUUUGAACUUAGAUUAUUGGAUGAUGAUGAGGACUUCAUAGAGAGUCGUGAUAGCUGUUCACACAUCAAUAAAACAUCUGUCUAUGGGCUCCUCAUAGGAGGUGGAGAACUCUGGCCAGUUGUUGCUUUUCUGAAGAAUAACAUGAUAUAUGCUUGUGUUCCACUAGUUGAACAAACUUUAUCCCCUCAUCCACCGUUAAUUAGCAUUAGUGGAAUUUCACAAGGCUUUGAACUUCUUUUUGGAGUACAGGAUUUUCUUUCCUUGAGUCAAAAAAAUGACACUGAGCUAAAUACAAAAUUGAACCAAUUACCUGAUUUGCUUCUACAAGCUUGUCCAUUUGGAACUUUGUUGGAUGCCAAUUUACAGAAUUCAUUGGAUAGUAUUAAUUUUGCUUCUGUGACUCAUUCACAAAAACAGCCAGCCUGGAAAGUUGGAACAUACAAAGGAAAACCACAAGUUUCUAUUUCUAUCACCGAAAAGGUAAAAUCCAUGCAAUACGAUAAACAGGAUAUAGCAGAUACAUGGCAGGUCGUUGGAACUGUCACUUGCAAGUGUGACUUAGAAGGAAUCAUGCCAAAUGUUACCAUCAGCUUGAGUCUCCCCACCAAUGGGUCUCCACUUCAGGAUAUUCUAGUUCAUCCUUGUGUGACUUCUCUUGAUUCUGCCAUUCUGACUUCUAGUAGCAUUGAUGCAAUGGAUGAUUCUGCAUUUAGCGGACCUUACAAAUUUCCACUCACACCUCCCUUAGAGUCAUUUAACUUAUGCUACUAUACUUCCCAGGUCCCUGUUCCACCGAUUUUGGGUUUUUAUCAAAUGAAAGAGGAAGAAAUACAAGUAAAAAUAACAGUUAAUUUAAAACUUCAUGAAAGUGUGAAAAAUAAUUUUGAGUUCUGUGAAGCUCAUAUACCUUUUUAUAACAGGGGUCCAAUUACACAUGUGGAAUACAAAGUGAGUUUUGGCCAGCUUGAAGUAUUUCGAGAGAAAAGCUCAUUGGUCUGGAUUAUUGGACAGAAGUUCCCCAAAUCAAUGGAAAUUAAUCUUUCUGGAACUGUAACUUUUGGAGCCAAGAGUCAUGAGAAGCAGUCAUUUGAUGAGAUUUGCAUUGGAGGUACAGCAUACUUAAAGCUUCAUUUUAGGAUCUUAGAUUAUACACUCACUGGUUGUUAUGCGGAUCAGCAUUCAGUUCAAGUUUUUGCAUCAGGAAAACCAAAAAUAAGUACACACCGGAAACUAAUUUCUUCUGACUAUUACAUCUGGAAUUCUAAGGCUCCUGCUCCAGUAACAUAUGGAUCAUUAUUACUGUCUGAGUCUCUCUGCCUGCUGUCUGAAAGAGGAAAAGUGAGGAACAAGAUAACAUAACACCGAGGCCUAUGCGACCCUCAGGAAACUCCCGCUGAAGACCACGCCCCUACACCCAUGGAGGGGAGGGGCUUCCUAAAUUCCCAGUCCUGCGCUGGAGGGUUCCCUAUGGUUGCCCGGUUGGUGGCGCCUGAGAGCUUCCCAGGGGCUGCUCGAACCCACAGUUCUCCUUUCUAUCAGUAACUAUUAUUGGAAGUCAAAGGUUGAGAAAUUGCAAUCCAGGAAACCCUCUGGAGGGUGUUUUGAGGAUUUAAACUGAGAAGUUAUCUGAUUCCUGGAGGUGUGAACUCCAGGGAAGGGUGAGAGAGGCUUCUGGGUUGAACCCACUCUGAUCCAGAGUUACUGAGGCCAACGCAUACCCUGGAGGCCAUGGGGUAUAAGACAGGUGAAGGCUUACGCUGGAAGUGCACAUUUGGUCAAAGCUAGCUCCAAGGAAGAGGACUCGACCUUCAUCUAAGAACUGCUCUGUGCUGCCCAGAGACUUCCUAGCGCUAUGUGUCAGGCCUGUUGGACAGUGGAGCACCCAUUUUUCAAUGGCAACUCUAUGUGGCAACGAGAAGCAGUUGCAGUAGUGGAUUGGUGUGCUCAAGGUCAGUAUUCCACUUCGUGGGGUGGAGAAGUUGGACCAAGCAAAAGCCUCUUGUGCUCUAGAUAAUGGGGGAGGGAGAUACCCAUUAUUUGUCCACAUUUAUCCAUAUAUUUAUGGAUGAUUUGUAGAGCAGUUCAGAUAGUUUCAUCUCCAAAUUGCAAAAAACAUCUUUUACUUCUUAAAUUGAGAUGAAACAAAGUGAACUGUUCCCUGUCUACUGCCCAAGUAAAGUUUAAAUCUUGGUCUCCAGAAGGAAAUUUUGAGAGUAUUCUUUGCACACCAAUAUUUACUUAGGCCAUACAAAUGCAUACUGUUCUAGGCUGGUUCUGAAUGUAGAUCAUAAUAACUAACAUUUCUUAAGCACUUACUGUUGAUUGAUCCCUAGGCUUUUUGUCUUUUAAUCCUCCCAAUAACCCAUGGAAAUUUGCUACCUGCUCUUUGUAGGGGAAGGAAAUUGGAGCUUGGUGAGGUGGAGUGGUAGACCAGAAUCUGGACACAGGGGAGCCAGUCUCAGGAGCUCUGUCCUCUAUAAUGCCUUCCAGGAAGCAAACCUGGUUCUUUGGCAGUUGGAAUGAGAGACCUCACAUCUAUUUCCAGCACCUCCCCCACAAUUGGUCUUUCUAACACAGGUAACAGUGAAGUUACUCUAAACACUGAAAUUACCAACAUGGAUCCAGUCCAUCUUUCCCUAAUUAGGUUGGCAUGAACAUUUCUCUGCUUUCAUCUUUCAAAGCCCUCCCUUUUACAAACCCACCAUUCAGUUUGUAUGUCCUCUCCGGCAAGUCUGCCAGUGACACUUUGCAGUCAUCUAUAAAAUAAACUUUUAGUCCCAGCUCCGUCUCCACAAGCAAAUGACUCACUCAGAUUCCAUCAUCGAAAGGUGGGGAAUGUAAAUGUGAUGCUUUGAAAUGUCUCCUUUGGGUUCAGGGAAUGUACAUGGUAGGGGCUAAUUGUCAGGAAAUUUAAUUGUUACUCUGUGUAUCGAGCUUCCCUUGUGUGCUGGGGCACACCAUAGGUGCUAAUAGUGAGAAAAUUUGACUGUAGCUCUGCUGUGCUCUCUUCAUUAAGCUAAUGGAACAUUUUCCUUUCAUUUUCUCCCUAGGGUGGCUGUAGGAGUGCAACCUUAUAAUUGUUGCUCUUACUGUAAUUGGAGGUAGUAGGAGUAUAUAUAAUCUUAUUGUCUUUCCUAUGUGGUGGUAGUUUAUUUAUGACCUAUUGAUAAUUCCCAGCCGGCAGUAGAAAAACUCAGUGAGUAUUACAUUAGCAUUCCCUACUAGGAGAGCGCCUACCAAAGACUAUUAUUAACCAGGAAGAACACGUAUGAGGGAUGGCCCAUCAUACCAAAUAUAAACUUCAUUACUGCAAAGAUUGACCCAUCUGGGUAUCAUGGGUGAUUAUUUGUUUCGCUAAAAUUAAUAAAGCCAUCGUCUCUAUCUUUCUUUAGAUGUAUGAAUAUAGAUUCAUGAAUCUUUUUGGGAGGCUCUCAAGGCUACUGCAUAUCUUCAAAGUGAUAAGGAGUUUUAUUUGGCCAUUGAGGUCCUUGGAGUGUAAUGGGCCAUACAAAAAACAUAAGUAUUUAGCAUCUACCACCCUGAUUCAGGGCACUGGGGUGUGCUGAGUACAGCUUAGGGCCAGCAGGACCCUCCCCAAAGGGCAUCCCAGGGGAUGACCUGGGAACCUGUUGCCCCACAUACAAAUGAGGAGAUCUCCUGAGGCACAAACAUCUGUGUUGUCAAAUCUUGGCCUCCUACAACAUAUUUUGAUGAAAUAACCUUUUAAUUUUUACAAGAUGUAACAUUUUUUAGGACACGGAGUAUUCUCUGGAUAUUGUCCACAACUAUGUGUUCCAUUCAGCUUUCAUUAGAGUCACUGAAGAGAACUAGCAUGUGAACUAUUUUGCUGUUUAAAAUGGGUCCAUUCAAGGACUGCCCUUUACUUCUGAACAGAAAGUAUCUUCUAAGGUCAGUACACAGAGCUCAUAAAUAUAAGCAAAUUAGGUUGGCAUCCAUGAGAACAUAGAAUUAUGUAUUCCACCCCCCACUAGAUUAUUGAAUAUCAAAGAAUUCAGUAGUGGACUGAAUGCAUAGUCAAAUAUCUAAAUUGUUAAAACUUAAAAUCUGAAAAUUGGCAUUUGGUCAAGUAGCUAUUAUGUGGCAAGCACAACACUACAAAUCUCCACAGAUAUCAUUUCAUUUUAUACUCCUGUAGUAGGGCAGAAUAAUGGCCUCCAAACAUGUCUAUGUCCUAACCUCUGAAACCCCUGAAAGUCUCUUACCUUCUAUGGAAAAAGAGGCCUUGCAGGUGUAAUUAAGGUAAGGAUAAGAUAUUGGAAAAUUAACCUGGAUUAUCUGGGUGGACCAAUAUAAUCACAAGGGUCAUUAUAAGAGGGAAGAAAGCGGGUCAGAGUCAGAAAAGAAAAUGUGACACCAAAGCAGGAGUUGGAGUGAUGUGGCCAGGAGCCAAGGAAUGUGGGCAGCCUCUGGAGGGUAAAAAAGGCAAGAAAAUGGCUUAUCCCUCUAGAGACUCUGGAAAGAAUGCAGUCCUGUCAGCCCAUUUAGGACUUCUGACCACCAGAAUGGUAAACGAGAAGGCUGUGUCAUUUUAAGCCACUAAAUCUGUGGUUAUUUGUUACAGCAGCAACAGGGCACUAUAUAACUCUCCACAAUUUUCUAAAACGGGCCUAUCUCCAUUUUGCAGAUUGAGGAAAUGAUAUUUCAGGGACUCAAGUGGUUUAACUCACCCUGCUUCCUCUCCCAGUGCAUGGAGUGUAGCUAUUUUUGAGCGUACCUGUGUUUUCUCUUCAGGUAGUUGGGUCCUCCCAAGGUUCCGAAAAAGCUGCAAGACGCAUGAGGUAGGUAAUUUGCUAACUGCACAUCCACACUUUUGUCUUCAACAUAAGGUUAGAUGACUUUCUAAUGAGCUUAGCUGAGUUUUUUCUUUUCUAAAAAGUUGGCCGUUUUUGUGAAGAUUAAUUCAGCAUUUCUGAAACCGGAGCUUCCUGUAUUGCUCUCUCUUUUGGCAAACGUUUUCCUUUGUCUCACCAUUUAAGUUUAGAUUAAAAAACUAGACCAGGAGGGAAUAAACAGUCUGUGAGCGGAAGGGGUUUAAUGUGUUUCUCAGUUUGCAAUAGUAACUUCAGUCAGGUAGGGUCUUAGAGAAAGAUGUCCUAUUCCAGUUUUAACUUCAAAGCCCACAGAAAUGGAGAGCAUGCUUUUGGAGAGUUAAUGGUCAUUUUCCAUGUCCUUAGUAUUGUGGCUCCCUGGGUUCUGCAGCAAGUCUAGAUAUAAAGGUCUGAGCCUUUAGGUUUGUUCUGGUUUUAAGCACAUUUGGUUCUGUAGUAGAUAUGUGUUCAUUACCCAUCUCCCCUAGCUUGGGGGAAUAUUCUUCCCCUUUCUGUGUCGUAUGAUGAGUGAGGGCAACCUAGCCAUCCCCUUGUGACCUAGGCUUGGCCAAUCAGAAUACAGUAUGUUAUAUCCUGACUACAGUGAUUGGUUCAGGGAUCAAGAAAGAUGGUGCAGAGGUUUAUAUGUAACCUUAAAUAUUUUCUUCAUGUAUAUAUAAGCAACUAUAAAAAUACAUCCCUAUUUUCUCUAUUUUAACACAGGAAGUAUAUUAGACAUACUGUUCUCCAAUGUGCUUUUUUCACCUAACAAUGUAUCUUGUCAAUCUCUUCCUAUCAAUAGAUAAGAGAACUUCAUCCCUUAUGCAGCUAGAUAGUAUUACGGGAUCCAUUUUGAUCAGAAGGACCUUGGAAAACCAGGUUGAUUUUGAGGAGUUGGGUCAACUCUAUAUGAGAAAGGAGUGGUAGAAGGUUAUAACUGGAUCCCAUCCCUUCUUCUACCUGGCAGAGAACCAGUACCUGGUUCUCUUACAGAGCUAGGAGAAAGAGGGUCCCUGGACCGGGAGGUGCUAGAAACAAGUUAAUGGUGUUGACCUUAUUUUGAAAGGAUGAAGUUAAAUAACGUAUACAUGCUAAAUGUUGAAACUACUGCCAGCAUGCCUCCCAACUUGGCUUCUAGACAGCAGACAGUUACUUUUAUACCACUCAGGGAGGGAUGAAAAAGGUUCUUCUUCAGAAACCUGACCCCACCAGGAAAGAUGACCUAGAAAUACUGCUGUGGGCUGGGAGUUCUCAUCAACAGCCUGAUCACUCUAGAGUGAGACCUUAGUCAUCAAGCCUCCCAGCUAACCAGAGAACUUUCACUGAGCUUUUAAGUAAUCUACUCUUAAUUAUCAUCAAGCAGUUAAGAAUUCUUAGAUAUCUGAGGGAAACUUCCAAAAUAAAAGAUAUAGUCCAAAAUGAACCAAAAGCAAAAAAUAAGUAAGUUGCUGCUUGGAGGAAACAAAGACUACAGGGGGAGCUGAAAACUUUUUGAAAAAGCUAUCAUCAAAAUCUUCAGAGAAAUAAAAGAUGAUACUGCAUCCAUGAAACAUGUUCUAUUAAAAAGGAACAUUCAGAAAAAUGUAGAAGAAAAGAAUUAUUGGAAAUUUAAGAAAAGAGAAAUUCAGUAAAUGGAUUGGAAGAGAAAUUGAGAAAGUCUUCCUGAAAUCAGAUUAAAAGGCAAAUAGAAAAUAUAAAAGCAGGCUUAAGAAAAUUAGGGAAAUACAGAAUGUCCCUAAAUAUGGGUUUGUCUGUGGCUAGACUGGGGAUAUGGGUAUUUGUGAAGAAGAGCAUGGAGGUGAAGUGUCAUUCUCGUCACAUCAUGUCCGGGGUACACGCUAUCAACGUUACAUCACUGAUGCUGUUAACCAAGAUGACCUGGCCCAGAUAGCAUUUCCCACAUUUAUCCAUGUAAAGUUACUUAUUAUUUCUCCUUCCCCUACUCUACUCUUCAGAAGCAAGUCACUAAGCAUAGCCCACGCUCAGGGGUGAAGAACUGAGACAGGUGGUGAGUAUCGACUUAAAUCGUUUAGAAUUAUACCCUUCUCCUUUAUUUAUUUUUUAUUUGUUCAAUUGUAUAUUUUUGGUUAUUAAUUUUAUAUUUUGGAUUAUAAUCUGAUACUACCUUAUUUAUUUUGUUGCCUAAAUUUUUCCAGGUUUGUCCACUGGUGAUCUGUUAGGUUGGCUCCUGUUCCCCUUUGAUAUGCCUCAUUUUCUGUUUGUUUUUUGAGUAUUUCUCUACUCUCUGGCAUUACAGGAUCCUCUGAGUUCAUCUGGAAUAUUUUCUCCCUUGGCUCUAUAAUCAGUCAUUUUCCCAAGGAGUCUGGUUCCUUUUAUUAGAGAAUAUCAUAUGCCCCUAAUUUAUUGCUGUGAUUCUUUUUUUCUUUUUCUUUUAGGACUCUACCCCCUGUCAACUUAAGAGCUAUUGGGAAUAUCAGGGAAAGAGCAAGAUUUUGACAAGUUUCCUCAGGAUUAAGGUAGACUUUAUUUUAACACCUCACUCUAGCUCCUUACAAGACAGAGGCUAUAUUAAUUGUCACUUAUCCUAAAAGAACAGUAUUAGAAAUUGGAAUUUUCAUCCUUAACCUUAUACCCUCAGAAAUAUUAUUUAACCAGCAUUUUACAAUUCAUCCAAAGAAUGCUAAACAGGUAUUCCAAGAAUUAGAUUCCAUGAUAUUAAGUAUUUUAAGAGCAGGAAUCCCAUCAAUACAUAGGAUAGUUAACUUCUUAGUCUUUGCAUUUUUAUUAGGAAUAUCUAACAGAUUUUAUAAAUCCCAUACUCCGAGUCAUUCAGUGUGUGCACAGCUAGUGUCAUUUUUUUUUUUUUACUUAAGAAAAGAAAAAGAUGUUUUCACUCUAUACAUAAAAUGAAUAACCAACACUAGAAUUAAAAAAUUACUUUAGAAAGAGGCAGUUCAAUUAAUCUGAAAUCUAUACUAUAUAAAUGUGAAUUCAAAGUUAAUUGUAUUCUUUUUCCAAAAAGCUACAUUUGCACUUACAGAUAUAAGGCUCAACUCAACUGUGUGUGUCAAAUGACUUAAUCUGGUUAUUGGGUUUAUGGAGGGAUUUAAACAUUUUAGUGAAAGGAGACAAAUACAACAUUCUUUUGUUUAAAUUAAGUUUUGUAAUUCAAAGGAUUUGUUCAUUUGGGCCUUCAAGUUCCUCCUUUCAACACGAGAGAGUCUUGAAGGUAGAAUCAUUGCUUGAAAGGCUUUUGCUUUCGCAUCUAACUUUUACUUUGAAACUAACCAAAAAGAAACUAAGUGUAUCAGAAGCAUACCUAAUCUCCUGGAAGUCAGCAUUGCAUCAAGUGUAUUAAAAUUAAAAACUACUCUUUUUUUUCUCCUCCUUAAAUAGGCAUCUGGUAAUAAGAGGCCAAUCAGCUGGGUUAGGAUAAAACAGACAGUGUUUUUCCUUCACUAGUUCAUUUGGAAAAGUCGCUUUGCUAAUUGAGAAAAUUUUAAUGAAUUUUACUUGCAUUAAAAUAAAGGUGAUUGCUUCAUGGCAACAAUGUACUCAUUUGAGAAAGUCAUUACAUUUAUGUAUUGUGUUUUCAAGUAAAUACUUUUGCCAAAAUGUAUUAGCAAGGAAUAUAAUAUUAUGGUUCAUGGUUCUUGUAGUAUCUGAAAAGAAUAAUUGUAUAACCAAUCAAUGAAAACAAAGUAAAUGUUCCUCUUGGGUUUGUACAAUAAAAAUGGAAUUAAAAUUA